GACAGAGGGUGCAAACGUUGUUCGGAAUUACUGGGCGUAAAGCGUGCGCAGGCGGUUUUGUAAGCCAGAUGUGAAAGCCCCGGGCUCAACCUGGGAAUGGCAUUUGGGACUGCAAGGCUUGAGUGCGGCAGAGGAGACUGGAAUUCCUGGUGUAGCAGUGAAAUGCGUAGAUAUCAGGAGGAAUACCGAUGGCGAAGGCAGGUCUCUGGGCUGACACUGACGCUCAUGCACGAAAGCGUGGGGAGCAAACAGG
rnacentral:rRNA from 1 species